rnacentral:rRNA from 1 species
GAUUAACGCUGGCGGCGUGCCUAAUACAUGCCAGUCGAGCGAACAGACGAGGAGCUUGCUCCUCUGACGUUAGCGGCGGACGGGUGAGUAACACGUGGAUAACCUACCUAUAAGACUGGGAUAACUUCGGGAAACCGGAGCUAAUACCGGAUAAUAUAUUGAACCGCAUGGUUCAAUAGUGAAAGACGGUUUUGCUGUCACUUAUAGAUGGAUCCGCGCCGCAUUAGCUAGUUGGUAAGGUAACGGCUUACCAAGGCAACGAUGCGUAGCCGACCUGAGAGGGUGAUCGGCCACACUGGAACUGAGACACGGUCCAGACUCCUACGGGAGGCAGCAGUAGGGAAUCUUCCGCAAUGGGCGAAAGCCUGACGGAGCAACGCCGCGUGAGUGAUGAAGGUCUUCGGAUCGUAAAACUCUGUUAUUAGGGAAGAACAAAUGUGUAAGUAACUAUGCACGUCUUGACGGUACCUAAUCAGAAAGCCACGGCUAACUACGUG